GACAUCGAUCGCUUCCCGCCACGCCGCCAUCUUACUUCACGUCUUCUUCAACUUCAAGGCUCUCUGACCUCCGCUGAGUGUACGCAUCCUGAAGUGGAAAUACUGCACAAAAAAACAUUAAAACUAACGAUAAGGAUGACCUACGCUUUUAUCCAAGGGUUGCAGUGGUCCAGAACUUAUCCCCAAAAAAAAGCACAGCUCCUAAAGGAGAGCUACAUACUGGAUGGGAAGCUGAACCACCACGAAGCAUCAAGAACAAUGAGGAAACCAAUCCGAGUGAAGGACAUCCUUAGAUUGCGGGAGGAAACCCGUACGCUGCCGGACCAUGCAAACUGUACACAGGGAGGUUUGAACCCAGGGGUCGGGACUACGAAAUGCAAGCUCUACCCUCUGCACCACUGUGCCACCAUCAUUAGAAAUGGAAUUCCCAACACAGCAGGCACAACUAUUACCGUAACACUCAAAUUUGAUAACUGGUACACAUAUAUUGUUGUGGAAAUUAUAUUUAAGCAUGACACAAAAUAACUGCACCCGCAGACCAUUACUUGUUUCCAUGCACAGUACCACUGGAUUUUUCUUUUUAGAACAUACUUAAUGCCUCACUAUAAAAAGCGGAGGACAGCCGGGGUCUUUGUUCUUACUUGCAAGGGUGUUGUUACAUAAAGGAACAGUCAGGCAAUGCAGUCAUUAAGGAAGACAUGUAUUUGUGAGUAAUUGCAGAGCAGCAUUUGCAGAACUGAGGUUUUGAUCAAGACAGACAUGUGAAAACACAGGCUUCUCAGCGCAGCUGCAUUCUUGACAUUUAAACCCUAAUGACUAGCAGGUUAUCCCAACAAAAGCAAGAGCAAUAACUAAUGGUUGCUUUGGAAACUGAGUGAGACAGAAGGAAGAGCCAAUUAAAAACUGCACUUGGUAUUCCAACAGGUAAUAGAAUUGAUGUUCCUAAUGUUGGUCAUUACCAAGAAGCAGUUUAGAUAAAUAUUCAUAAGCAUCAUACCACUUUAUCAUGUUUCUUUGCAAUGAAAAGGAAAUAAUUUGAAUUCAUCAAGUAGUAGCACCAAAAAAAAAAAAAA